AUGAAGGGCACCAGAAACUGCAGUCCUAGAGCUUCUUUCAGUGAAAAGACUUUGAAGCCAGUAGUAACAAAGUCCUCAUGGAGUGACAUUUUGGGGAAAGAAACAAUUUUUCAGGGCCAGGGGGAAGGAGAGAAGGUGAAAAUCAGCUCUGCUGAGGCAUGGGUAGACAAGCUCCCAUCCUACUAGACUCAAUGGGAGGGUUGCUGCUGAUGUGAAUAGGUCUCUCUCUGAUGCACACAGCUCUCCUGUAACAUUCAGCAGGUAUCCCAGCAAGUCAGUACAAGCUUUGGGCAGAAAUAUAUAAUAGGGAAAGAAUGCAUUUUUAAAAUAUUCCUUUCUUUUUUACUCUUUUAAAAUUACAUUGCUUAUUGAAGGCAGCAGACAGAAUAUACAGUCUUUUCUCUGUGUCUGUGAAUAACUGCUGAGAUUCCUGCUAGAAGCAUUCACACAACAGAAAAGAAAGAAUGCCCAUAUAAAAACCUCUUUAAUUUCCCUUCCCUCUAUUUUUUCCUCGGAGUGCCUUUAUGUACUUUUGCUGCAAGCUAACUGGAAUUAAAUAUUGAAAAGAGUUAAAAAAUGUGUAACUUCUUUUCUCAAACUCUGAAAAAAAGAGAUUUCAAAUCUGUGAAAGAUGAUUUUGACCAUCUAGUUUGACCUCCUGCAAAGUACAGUACGUGGCAUUGUCAGCCCUGUAAAGGUACUUGUAGCCCGUGCUGGACUAAGGUAGAGCUUUCAGAAAUACAUCUUGACUUUAUUUGGAGACAUCAGACAACGUAGGAUCCACUACCUUGUUUGACAGCUUAUUUCAUUAUUCAUAUUGUUAGAAAGUCGUGCCAUGUUGUUAAUGAUAGCAGAUCCACCCAUUGCUUUGGAAAUAGUUACUCUAUAUAUACUCUGCUACGUGACUGUCUUCCCUCCGAGUCUAAAGCCUUAAUUUGAAAAUAUCUGUGCCAUGGAUAAUCCAUUCAGGACAGGAUUUAUGGAGAUCCUGUGGGGUGCCAGUUUCUGUUAAUUAGCGUAGGAGUUAGAAGCCAGCGAAAACCACGGGAUCUGCCUGUCCAGCUGCUGGAGUAGAGAAUAUCCUUUUCUUCACACUGAUGCUGAGCUUCUCCACUCCUGGAGACUGUCAUUACGAAAUUACAAAAAGCUUCCACACUCAUAGCCUGAAAUCUUGUGAAAAUGGCAU
rnacentral:lncRNA from 1 species